rnacentral:rRNA from 1 species
UUCCUACGGGAGGCAGCAGUGGGGAAUAUUGCGCAAUGGGGGAAACCCUGACGCAGCGACGCCGUGUGAGUGAUGAAGGUUUUCGGAUCGUAAAGCUCUGUCAGGUGGGAAGAAUAAGGUCUGUGAAAAUAUUGCAGUCCGAUGACGGUACCACCAGAGGAAGCACCGGCUAACUCCGUGCCAGCAGCCGCGGUAAUACGGAGGGUGCAAGCGUUGUUCGGAAUUAUUGGGCGUAAAGGGCGUGCAGGCGGGUAUGCAGGUCAGGUGUGAAAUCCCUCGGCUCAACCGAGGAAGUGCAUCUGAAACCGUGUAUCUUGAGUACGUGAGAGGCAGAUGGAAUUCCCAGUGUAGAGGUGAAAUUCAUAGAUAUUGGGAAGAACACCGGUGGCGAAAGCGGUCUGCUGGCACGAUACUGACGCUGAGACGCGAAAGCGUGGGGAGCAAACAGGAUUAGAUACCCUGGUAGUCCACGCCGUAAACGAUGUGCACUAGGUGUUGGGGGUAAUUAAACCUUCAGUGCCGCAGCUAACGCAUUAAGUGCACCGCCUGGGGAUUACGGUCGCAAGACUAAAACUCAAAGGAAUUGACGGAA